CGGGAUAUAGCGCAGCCUGGUAGCGCAUCUGCUUUGGGAGCAGAGGGUCGAGUGUUCGAAUCACUCUAUCCCGACCA
rnacentral:tRNA from 1 species